rnacentral:rRNA from 1 species
CGCCGGCGACCGGCGCACGGGUGAGUAACACGUAUGCGACCUGCCCCCCGCAGGGGAUAACCGGGAGAAAUCCCGACUAAUACCGCGUAACGCCGCGGACCUGCAUGGGUCUGCGGCCAAAGGAAGCGAUUCCGGCGGGGGAUGGGCAUGCGGCGCAUUAGCUAGUCGGCGGGGUAACGGCCCGCCGAGGCGACGAUGCGUAGGGGUUCGUGAGAGGAAGGUCCCCCACCACUGGUACUGAGACACGGACCAGACUCCUACGGAAGGCAGCAG